UAAACAGUGCCCAUUCGCGAUAACGGGUGUUGCUCAGGUGCAUUAAGUGUAUAAAACAAAUUUUAAAAUGCCAUGCUGUUCAGCGUAUGGCUGCAGCACACAGUCAAACAGGGGGAAACGAAUGCACCGUUUCCCCCGCGAUCCGGAACGCAGGAAAAUAUGGGAGGUGAAGGUUCGAAGAAAAGAUUGGAAGGCGAAUGACAACUCUUUCUUGUGUGAGGAUCACUUCGACAUCACACAGUACGAAUGCAACAGAAUUGAUGGCCUGAGAAAACUGAGGCCAAAUGCUGUUCCCACCCAGUUUGUCUUCAGCCCACCAAAGCUCCCCGGGAGACAGACAAAGCGGAGCAGGGCAGUACAUGAACCAUGCGAACCAUCGAAAACUAUUUGCCUGGACCAUCCAUACUGUGCGACAUGUCUUGAAGUUCAAUCAGCAAACAAACAAAGGCAAAAGAAAAUCUGCGUGAGGGAACGGAAGAAGAGAAAGGUAAA